rnacentral:sRNA from 1 species
GCUCGCAGAAGAUUCCUGUUGCCGCGCGUCGUUCUUGCUGGCGGGACAUUGGGCGCGCGACACUCGUUCACCCAGGACAGCCAUUCAGGAAGGAUCCUCAGUUUUAUGCCUGAGGUGAGGAAAGGUUUCGAAGAACAACAUGAAAUCACCAGAGACUGAAACUCCUCCAACUACAAGACUUUGAAAUAGCUCCACUCCAUUUCAGGUAUCCUUUUAUUAUUUGAUGUUUUAUACAUGAAUAUAAUGUUCUUGAUCAAAUCUACCCCACCCAUUCUUCCUUUGCAUCUCCUCCUGUACUCUGACACAACUUCUUCCUCCCAACUUCAUAUUCUCUUUCAUAAACCCUGAGUCUACUUAGUGCUGCCUUGCGUGUGCAUGGGUUUAGGCCAACACUGGAACGUGAGCAGCCUGUCAUGGUUUUGAGUGAGUGCUCUGCUCUCAGGCUUGACCCUCAUAUCCUGGGGGGCAGCUGUCUUUUCUGGCUCUAUGUUCAGCAGGCAGAUGGGUACUAGCAGUAACAUCUAUGAUGACCAUCAAAUAUCUAUCCUACUUAGUUGCUCUUUACCACCUGAUCUGCUUUAAAAAAAAAAAAACUGGCUCUCCCUGACCUAUCAUCAGGUAUCAAUAGCCAAUCAGCUAGAGAUAAGACUGCAUAACCAUUUUCCUAGUCCACGCUAGAAUUGAUCUCAUGUAAAUCUUGUGCAAUGCAGUCACAGCUGCCACGAGUUCAUGUGUGCAAUGGUCCAGUUGUAUCUGGAAUACAGUUCUUCAUCAGUCCUCUACUGCACCUAACUCUUACAACCCUCAUUCCUCUCUACUUCUGCAGUGGGAUUUUUAUGGAAAUAUUUGUAUAAGAGAGAAAACAUACCAAAAAUAUUAGUUUCAGAAAACUUCGUGUUCUCUCUCGUAGCCCUAUCAUCUUUUGAUACUAGCAGGGCAGGCAUUAACUACAAUACUAAGCAUAAUUUACUAGGGCACAUAAGUACCCAAGGGAACGUGUGUGUGAUACUAGGAAAUAGAUGAGUUGCAUUAUCAACAUCCUCUAUUUUAAGUUAAUGGUCUAAAAGCUACAAUCAAGAAUAUAAGAUUGUUGGUAUUAUUUCUCGAAAUAAGUCCAAGAUGUGAUCCAUGGGGAGCACGGAACAUAUGCUUGAUGAGACUCAAGAGAGAACAAUACCAUCUUAAGAUGUCAUAGUUUUCCUCUCCACAAAUUUGCUCAUAAGGGCAAAGCGGCUUAGACCCAACUUCCUUGCUUCCAGCAGGGCAUUCCUUCUUUGUCUAAUGUAUAAACUUAGCACAAAAUGUCAAGCUGUGCUGUUUGUUUAACAAACAAUGAACCAUAAAAACACUUAUAAGCAGCCUUAGUGAAGGACUACUGUGAUAUGUAUUCUUGGUUGUCAAUUUGACAACAUUUAGAAUUAACUAGAAGACAAAAAUGGAGUGGCAUACCUUUGAGGGAUUUCAUAUGGGAGGACCUACUUCCCUGGACCUUUGAGGCAGGAAGACAUACCCUUAAUUCAGAUCUUUUAAGCAGGGAAAUCCAACUUCUAUCUGAUCUGCCCCAUGUCUUCUGCUAGGAGCAUAUAGAAGGACACAGAGGAAGGAAGCUUUGGCUCUUUGCCUCACUGGCAAGUCCAUUCCUUCACGAGCAUUAGAGACUAUUUCUUCAGUAUUGGGAUAUAUAGUGAGGACUAGGAGACAUCCAGCCUUGUGGACUGAGCAACUCCUAGAUUCCUAGACUUUCUAUUUAUAGAUGACCAUUGUUGUAUUAGCUGGAUCACAGCUUGUAAGUUAUUCUAAAAAAUCGUGUGUGUGUGUGUGUGUGUGUGUGUGUGUGUGUGUUCUCAAAAGACAGAUAUACAUAUACUAAAUGUCAUGGCUAGUGAGAUAGCUCAGUGUGUAAAGGUGUUUGCUGCCGAGCCUGAUGACCGAGUCUGAUACCUACAGCCCACAUGGUAGGAUGAGAGAAUGGACUCCCACAGGUUUCCUCUAACUCUACACAAGUUGUGGUCUAUGCAUGUUCUCACAUAUACACACAAAUAAGUCAAUAUAAAAAAUAAUCUUCUAAAAGAAUGGUCAUGUCAGCAUUACUCAAAAGUCUCAAAAUGCAGAAUAACCCAUAUGUCUAUCAGCUGAAAAAUAGAUACAUAAAAUUUUGGGAUAGUCAUACAACAAAAAGGUUUAGUCAUGAUAGUGAAAGAAACACAACCAUAUGAAACUAAAAAGGCCAAUAUUUCAAGUGUUAUGAUCAGAGAAGGCAACACUGGGGAGGAGAGUGUGUGGCAUUUCAUUCAUAAAAAGCUCCUGAACAGGAGAAACUGAUGUAAGAAGUGAGGAGAAUUUUCUGAGCAUGUUGUCAUUUGCAUGCAAUCUCAGCUACUGAGACAGGAGGACCUUGAGCUUGAAGCCAGCCUGAGCUACAAAACAACUUAAAGGCCAGCUUGGGCAAAUUAGUAAAAGCCUAGCUCACAAUAAACAUUUUUAACUGGAUAUGGAUACAGCUCUCUAGCAUGUGGGUUUCAUCCUCAGCACCACGAAGAGAGAGAAGUUAGAAUAAUUAUCCUUCAGGUGAUGCAGUAGCUAAGAAUAGCUGCCUUCUAAUAUGCCCUACUUGAUAAUGUGAUAGCAUUCUUCAUCUUUCUCUAUCCACUAUCUUCAGAGAACCACAGCUCUGGGUGACAUAUUGUACAGCAAGACCUCCAAGACCUCCAAUUUACAGGUGUGUUAAGGGAGUAAGUACCCCGCUGCUCAUGCAGAUUACUUCCUUUUAUUAUCUACACAUCACGAGGAAUCUAUUAUUCUUCUAUGAGUCGGUUACACAAAUAGUAAACAGUAAAAUCAGGAUUCAAACGAUACUAUUCUGUCUUCAAAGACCAUUAAUUUCUAAGAAAACUCAUUGGGGAAAUGUAAACGUAUGGCUAUGGCUUCAUUAAGUCAAUAACUGGCCUAAUGAGCUAGCUGUUACCACCCCGGUCCUAUGUAAACAGAAGUCUUUGGAGAUCAGAGCUGACUUGUCCUCAUGUUCUAUCUACCUUUCAUGCCUGCACAGUCUGAUUAUUGUGCAGCUCACAGCAUCUGUAACCUCGAAUGAAUCACUUCAGUCUCUGUAGUCAUCAGUUCUCUCGUUCAUAAAGUGAAGCUCUCAACCAUUACUUCUCUUACCGCUUCAAACCUUAAUGUGUCAGACGUCCACAAUCAUACAGAUCUCAAAAAUGAAUCAAAUGUGUAAGUCCUUUGGUGAAGUAAAUAAUUCUAUGACAGAGAUGCCUUUCCAAUCUUCAGCCCACAAAAAAAGAAGAGAAGAACAUAACUAGCUUCGUCAGUUUUCCUUUGACAACUCCCAACUAAGCACAUAUGUACUUGCAGGUCCUUACAGAAGUGCAAACAAAACACUUGACCAAAAUCAGGCCACCGACCUGCCAAUUUACCUCCACUCAAAUCUUCCCAGCGGCUGUAAUGGUGAACGCUCCUCACUACCUGUUCAAUGUUCUGGGUUCCGAAGGAAAGACACAGCUUUAUAUUUUAACAUGCCUUCAAUAGCUCAAUGGUUGGGCCACUUCUUAAACUCCAUUCAACUGACACACUCCCCUCUGAUAGUCCUGAGUUAUUACUUACAAAAAUCUAUGUCCCGUCUUUGCUGCCCUGGACCCAUCCCUUCUGGGCCAUGAUCCCCGACUCUUACACGAUUGCUGUGCUCUCUCUUCUGCACCUCUCAGGCCUGGUCUUUACUCCUUUCCUGGCAUGGCGGCUCUAUCCUCUCCUGCUCUUGUCCCUUGUCCAGGGAUCCUAAAGUCCCACCUCUGUUUCCUGCCCAGUAAUUGGCCACCAGCAACUUUAUUUACCAAUCAAAAACAACUGGGGGGCAGGGAUCCUCAGUGUCUUAUGUUCAGACAUGCGAAUUCCCAUGUAAUUUGGGGGACCUAAAUAACAUAAGUAGCAUUAGAACAAAUCCACAAUAUUGACCCCUUUAGCAAAAUCAGGCUGCCAAACCCUUGCUUUUGUUCCCACUUGUUCUGAGGCUCUUAGCAACUUGCCCACCACAAAGUCUAUGGAGAAAUACUAAGGAAGUGUUUAUAUUUUAAUGAGACAAUGAUCCUUAGUCUAAAGCUCAAAGAAAUAUUAAAUAUGAAGUUAAAGGAACUGCCUUUGGGGAGCAGGGGGACCCUCCUUGUAGCUC